UAAUUUUAAUUACUCAGUUUUUCAGCUUUUUAAUCAAUUAUCAUCAGAAACAUUUGUCUUUUACAUGAACACAACUAACUUUAAUAUCAACCAUGUGGAUACAUUGAAAUUAUUAAUGUUAAUAUUGAUCAGUAAUUAGGAUUUUAUCGGAUAAGGUAUUCUAAGCAAUCAAAUUCAAUUCAACUCGAUAACUUAUCAAAGAUUAAUUGAUAAUUAUAUUAGUUGAAAUGUGUUUGAAUCACCUGAUUUUUACCUGUUCCGAUUAUGUGAGAAAAUGUCAAACUAUUUAAAAAUAAUUAUUUUCUCUAAGUAUAAAAGGAGGUGAAAUUGAAUUGUGAAAAUCAUUCUGACUCUUCAUUUGUUCAACAAACAAUUAACUGAUUAUUUGAAUUUUGCUCGUGUGUUUAAAUCACUCAUUUCAAUCCCAACAAAUAAAAUGGACUCCAAAUCAAUCAUCGUUUAUGUCGCUCUCUUUGCUUCAGCCAUCGCAAUGGCUUUUGCUAACCCAGAGCCCGAACCUGAACCACAACCAAUCAUGCAGUUGGUCAACGGUCUUCUCGGAUAAUUUGUCUCGUAAUCAAAUAUUGAUUGUGUUGAUACCUUUGAAUGGUCAUUAUGAUUUAUUAAUAGUUAAUUGCAGUUAUAAAUUUUGAUGAAUAAAUAAAGCAUUGAAAAAGAAAAAA